rnacentral:rRNA from 1 species
CUGGCGGUCUUUGGCCGUCCGAGUUGUAGUCUGGAGAAGUGCUUUCCGUGCUGGACCGUGUACAAGUCUCUUGGAACAGAGCGUCAUAGAGGGUGAGAAUCCCGUCUUUGACACGGACUACCAGUGCUUUGUGAUGCGCUCUCAACGAGUCGAGUUGUUUGGGAAUGCAGCUCAAAAUGGGUGGUAAAUUCCAUCUAAAGCUAAAUAUUGGCGAGAGACCGAUAGCGAACAAGUACCGUGAGGGAAAGAUGAAAAGCACUUUGGAAAGAGAGUUAAACAGUACGUGAAAUUGCUGAAAGGGAAACGAUUGAAGUCAGUCGCGUUGGCCGGAACUCAGCCUUGCUUCCGCUUGGUGUACUUUCUGGUUGACGGGCCAGCAUCAGUUUUGAUCGUUGGAUAAAGGCUGGGGGAAUGUGGCACCUUCGGGUGUGUUAUAGCCCUCGGUCACAUACAACGGUUGGGACUGAGGAUCGCAGCACGCCUUUAUGGUCGGGGUUCGCCCACGUAUGUGCUUAGGAUGCUGGCAUAAUGGCUUUAAACGACCCGUCUUGAAACACGGACCAAGGAGUCUAACAUGCCCGCGAGUGUUUGGGUGGUAAACCCGAGCGCGUAAUGAAAGUGAAAGUUGAGAUCCCUGUCAUGGGGAGCAUCGACGCCCGGACCUGAACUUCUGUGACGGCUCUGCGGUGGAGCGUGUAUGUUGGGACCCGAAAGAUGGUGAACUAUGCCUGAAUAGGGUGAAGCCAGAGGAAACUCUGGUGGAGGCUCGUAGCGAUUCUGACGUGCAAAUCGAUCGUCAAAUUUGGGUAUAGGGGCGAAAGACUAAUCGAACCAUCUAGUAG